rnacentral:rRNA from 1 species
CAAUAGCGUAUAUUAAAGUUGUUGCAGUUAAAAAGCUCGUAGUUGGAUUUCUGGUGGGAGCGAUCGGUCUGGCGCUUAGCGCGAGUACUUGCAUCGUCUCCGGCCAUCCUUGGGGAGAGUCUGUCUGGCAUUAAGUUGUCGGGCAGAGGAUCCUCAUCGUUUACUGUGAAAAAAUUAGAGUGUUCAAAGCAGGCUUAUGCCGUUGAAUAUAUUAGCAUGGAAUAAUAAGAUAGGACUUUGGUACUAUUUUGUUGGUUUUCGCACCAAAGUAAUGAUUAAUAGGGACAGUUGGGGGUAUUCGUAUUCCGUUGUCAGAGGUGAAAUUCUUGGAUUUACGGAAGACGAACUACUGCGAAAGCAUUUACCAAGGAUGUUUUCAUUAA